rnacentral:rRNA from 1 species
AAGGCUCAGUAACACGUAGUUAAUCUAACCUAUGGAUGGGCAUAACCUCGGGAAACUGAGAAUAAUACCCAAUGGACCACAGUGCCUGGAAUGGCCUGUGGUUGAAAUGAUUUAUCGCCGUAGGAUGGGACUGCGGCCUAUCAGCUAGUUGGUGAGGUAAUGGCCCACCAAGGCUAUAACAGGUACGGGCUCUGAGAGGAGGGGCCCGGAGAUGGGUACUGAGACACGGACCCAGGCCCUAUGGGGCGCAGCAGGCGAGAAACCUUUGCAAUGUGCGAAAGCACGACAAGGUUAAUCCGAGUGUCUCCUGCUAAAGGAGUCUUUUGUCAGUUCUAGAAUCACUGGUGAAUAAGGGGUGGGCAAGUUCUGGUGUCAGCCGCCGCGGUAAAACCAGCACCUCGAGUGGUCAGGAGGUUUAUUGGGCCUAAAGCAUCCGUAGCCGGUUGCAUAAGUUUUCGGUUAAAUCUAUGCGCUCAACGUAUAGGCCGCCGAAAAUACUGUGCAGCUAGGGAGUGGGAGAGGUACACGGUACUCAAUAGGAAGGGGUAAAAUCCUUUGAUCUAUUGAUGACCACCUGUGGCGAAGGCGGUGUACCAGAACACGUUCGACGGUGAGGGAUGAAAGCUGGGGGAGCAAACCGGAUUAGAUACCCGGGUAGUCCCAGCUGUAAACGAUGCAGACUCGGUGAUGCAUUGGCUUGUGGCCAAUGCAGUGCCGCAGGGAAGCCGUUAAGUCUGCCGCCUGGGAAGUACGUACGCAAGUAUGAAACUUAAAGGAAUUGGUCGGGGGAGCAC